AUUGAACGCUGGCGGCAUGCUUUACACAUGCAAGUCGAACGGCAGCGGGGUAGUGCUUGCACUACUGCCGGCGAGUGGCGAACGGGUGAGUAAUAUAUCGGAACGUACCGAGUAAUGGGGGAUAACCAAUCGAAAGAUUGGCUAAUACCGCAUACGUCCUAAGGGAGAAAGCGGGGGAUCGCAAGACCUCGCGUUAUUCGAGCGGCCGAUAACUGAUUAGCUAGUUGGUGGGGUAAAGGCCUACCAAGGCGACGAUCAGUAGCGGGUCUGAGAGGACGAUCCGCCACACUGGGACUGAGACACGGCCCAGACUCCUACGGGAGGCAGCAGUGGGGAAUUUUGGACAAUGGGGGCAACCCUGAUCCAGCCAUGCCGCGUGUAUGAAGAAGGCCUUCGGGUUGUAAAGUACUUUUGUUAGGGAAGAAAAGGGAAGUGCUAAUACCACUUUUUGCCGACGGUACCUAAAGAAUAAGCACCGGCUAACUACGUGCCAGCAGCCGCGGUAAUACGUAGGGUGCGAGCGUUAAUCGGAAUUACUGGGCGUAAAGCGAGCGCAGACGGUUAUUUAAGCAGGAUGUGAAAUCCCCGGGCUUAACCUGGGAACUGCGUUCUGAACUGGAUAGCUAGAGUGUGUCAGAGGGGGGUAGAAUUCCACGUGUAGCAGUGAAAUGCGUAGAGAUGUGGAGGAAUACCGAUGGCGAAGGCAGCCCCCUGGGAUAACACUGACGUUCAUGCUCGAAAGCGUGGGUAGCAAACAGG
rnacentral:rRNA from 1 species